rnacentral:lncRNA from 1 species
UUUGACCGGGAGCGAUUAGGAUUGUGUCGGUGGUGAAGGGUUUGACGUAGACGGCGUCGACUUCCACAAUGGUGAAGCGGUGGCCAGCGAUCUUGAAGAAGAGCUCUUCGUUCAUUGCUGCGUUUACUAGUCGUAGCAUGUAUGUUUUCCCGCUCUCUACCGCUAAUUUAAAAUUACCUAAACCCAAAAAAAUAUAUCAAAUUAUUAGAAAAAUCAAUAUAAAUAAAUAAAAUUCUUUAUUAAUUUAACUUGUUAUAAAUAUUUUUUUUGUUGAAACUACAAAGAAAUAAAUUAAGGAUGUUUCAUUUGAUGUAAGGAUCCAUAAAUUCAAAUUGUUGGAAACAUUACAGGACAAACUACCUUGCGAUGGGCAGUUUGGGACGAGACCGGGAUGACCGUUAAUGACAUGAGCAUCUGAGACAUUAGGUGCUAAACCGGAUUUUAAUGCUUCAUUAAUAACAUUUUCGGUAUCGGAUUUCCACCACUCACCUAUAGAAGAAUAAACAUGGAGUUCCAAAUUAUUGAUCUAAUAAUAAUUAAAGCAAUCCAUGAGUAUCUCUCUUUAGAUUAAUACCUAGUACGAUGACUUCUUCUCUGUGUGGUUUAGGGAACGGGUAAGGUAGACCCGGUUUUGGCAGAAUCACGAUGGCACCAUGAACCGUAGCUCGGAGCCAGAGAACAUGUGCG